rnacentral:rRNA from 1 species
UUGUUUCAGCAAUAACAGUUGGAAACGACUGCUAAUACCGGAUGAUGACGAAAGUCCAAAGAUUUAUCGCCAGAGGAUGAGCCCGCGUAGGAUUAGCUAGUUGGUGUGGUAAAGGCACACCAAGGCGACGAUCCUUAGCUGGUCUGAGAGGAUGAUCAGCCACACUGGGACUGAGACACGGCCCAGACUCCUACGGGAGGCAGCAGUGGGGAAUAUUGGACAAUGGGCGAAAGCCUGAUCCAGCAGUGCCGCGUGAGUGAUGAAGGCCUUAGGGUUGUAAAGCUCUUUUACCCGGGAUGAUAAUGACAGUACCGGGAGAAUAAGCUCCGGCUAACUCCGUGCCAGCAGCCGCGGUAAUACGGAGGGAGCUAGCGUUGUUCGGAAUUACUGGGCGUAAAGCGCACGUAGGCGGC